rnacentral:rRNA from 1 species
GACGAACGCUGGCGGCGUGCUUAACACAUGCAAGUCGAACGGAAAGGCCUGCUUUCCCUUGUGUAUUGCGGGUACUCGAGUGGCGAACGGGUGAGUAACACGUGGGUGAUCUUCCCCCAACUUGGGUAUAAGCCUGGGAAACUGGGUCUAAUUCCCGAUAGGACUGCAGGGUGGUGCCGAUGGUGGAAAACGAUUUUCUAGUGGUUGGGGAUGAGCUCGCGGCCUAUCAGCUUGUUGGUGGGGUAAUGGCCUACCAAGGCGGCGCCGGGUAGCAGGCCUGAGAGGGUGGACGGCCACAUUGGGACCGAGAUACGGCCCAGACGCCGACGGGAGGCAGCAGUGGGGAACAUUGCACGAUGGGCGGAAGCCUGAUGCAGCGACGCCGCGUGGGGGAUGACGGCCUGCGGGUUGUAAUCUCCUUUCGACCGCGAGGAAGCCACCUGGUUGGAAGGGUGGUGACGGUAGUGGUAGAAGAAGCACCGGCUAACUACGU